GAUGAACGCUGGCGGCGUGCCUAAUACAUGCAAGUCGAGCGAAUGGAUUAAGAGCUUGCUCUUAUGAUGUUAGCGGCGGACGGGUGAGUAACACGCGGGUAACCUGCCCAUAAGACUGGGAUAACUCCGGGAAACCGGGGCUAAUACCGGAUAACAUUUUGAACCGCAUGGUUCGAAAUUGAAAGGCGGCUUCGGCUGUCACUUAUGGAUGGACCCGCGUCGCAUUAGCUAGUUGGUGAGGUAACGGCUCACCAAGGCAACGAUGCGUAGCCGACCUGAGAGGGUGAUCGGCCACACUGGGACUGAGACACGGCCCAGACUCCUACGGGAGGCAGCAGUAGGGAAUCUUCCGCAAUGGACGAAAGUCUGACGGAGCAACGCCGCGUGAGUGAUGAAGGCUUUCGGGUCGUAAAACUCUGUUGUUAGGGAAGAACAAGUGCUAGUUGAAUAAGCUGGCACCUUGACGGUACCUAACCAGAAAGCCACGGCUAACUACGUGCCAGCCGCCGCAGUAAGAC
rnacentral:rRNA from 1 species